rnacentral:rRNA from 1 species
UACGGAGGGUGCAAGCGUUAUCCGGAUUUACUGGGUUUAAAGGGUGCGUAGGUGGGUCUGUAAGUCAGUGGUGAAAUCUUCGAGCUUAACUCGGAAACUGCCAUUGAUACUAUAGGUCUUGAAUUAUCUGGAGGUGAGCGGAAUAUGUCAUGUAGCGGUGAAAAUGCUUAGAUAUGACAUAGAACACCAAUUGCGAAGGCAGCUCACUACGGAUAUAUUGACACUGAGGCACGAAAAGCGUGGGGGAUCAAAACAGG